rnacentral:rRNA from 1 species
UGGGGAAUCUUAGACAAUGGGGGCAACCCUGAUCUAGCCAUGCCGCGUGAGUGAUGAAGGCCUUAGGGUUGUAAAGCUCUUUCAGCUGGGAAGAUAAUGACGGUACCAGCAGAAGAAGCCCCGGCUAACUCCGUGCCAGCAGCCGCGGUAAUACGGAGGGGGCUAGCGUUGUUCGGAAUUACUGGGCGUAAAGCGCACGUAGGCGGACCAGAAAGUUGGGGGUGAAAUCCCGGGGGCCUCAACCUCGGAACUGCCCUCAAAACUAUUGGUCUGGAGUUCGAGAGAGGUGAGUGGAAUUCCGAGUGUAGAGGUGAAAUUCGUAGAUAUUCGGAGGAACACCAGUGGCGAAGGCGGCUCACUGGCUCGAUACUGACGCUGAGGUGCNAAAGCGUGGGGAGCAAACAGGAUUAGAUACCCUGGUAGUCCACG